UUAAGUUAUUUGCAUGCCCUGUGAUUAAGCGACAGCACUAAUUUUUAUAAAAAAUAUUGCCUUAUUUUUAAUGGGUCUUAUGGAAGAAGUGAACCUUUAAGAGGAAUUUGGAUGAGGGGCUAGGUGGACCAGGAUAAGCGGUCAAUACGUGCAUAUGGGCCAUACAAAGACAAUUGUGGGAAAAGCAAACAAAUUACCUUAAUUGUGGGGUGGAGGGAUCACAAAUAGAAAUCCAAACGUGCUAUGGCAUAUUUUUAAUUAGCUACCUACAAGCCUAUUCAACUAUUUUAAGUCUACUUGCUUUACUAUUAUAUCUGAAUAUAUUUUCCUAUGCCUUGGUAUUUUUUCUGUAUUUCUAAGUUUUAGUUCACAAAAGGUUAUGUAAUAGUCUGGCAUGAAGCACUGUAUUACCCAGAAAUAAUGUACUGUAAGCAUAAUAAGAUGCACAAUAAUUGCAUGUAAUUUCAGGUUUCAGCACCAGAUGGCAAUAAGUGAUCAAACUUUGUUCUUUUAAAUCUAUUCAGCUUCUGCUCAUAAGUUGGUGAAAAUUGUGAUAGUGAUGUUUUUCUAUGUUUGUAGACUUAAAAGGCAGUUAUUUUUGGAGCCAUCUUGACUCAUUAAACUUGUUUAUGCCAAUAAGAAAGUAUUUAACUUUUUGUGAAUAGAAGGAUGAGCUGGAUAAACAUAAUUCCAUACUUCAAAAAUGGGGCCACACAAUCUUAAAUAAAUUUAACUUUGGUGUGAAGAGGUUUGGCUUAUACAAAGCUUUUUGAACCUCUAGAAUUGGUUCUCCUCUAAUAUCGCUUUACAACUAUACUGUGUUUUAUUAACCAUAUAACAUCAGCUAAAAUAACUUGAGAAUGGGAAAUGUUAAUAGAUUCAUCAUCCCACACAGUGUCGCAGAAAGUUAUUGCAGGCCAUCAAAAUCAGCACACAAUAUAGAAGAUCUCCUUUGGGCCUGAUCUCACACCCAUUUAAAUGUAUGGAAAAGCUCCAUGGAGUCUUUGGAUCAGGCCUGAUAUGAAGAAAAUGAGUGAGUCUUUAGAAUGACAAAAACAGGAGUUUGAUAAUUCACUGUUUAGAAACAUUGUGACACUAUGACUUUUUCAUAUUUAAUGCUUGCCUGAGGAAGUGAUAUUGACCUGUGUGUGUCCAGAUGAUAGAGUGCUUCUGACUUCCACCUCCUAACAUAGCGGUGAAAACAAGAAUUAAAUAUUGCUUGCUCUACAAGGAUGAUGAGUUCCUUGGCAGUGGACAAAAAUCAUGAGGCAGGGCCCAUCAGUGUACAUCUUAGAACAGGGCAAAAAGCAGAGCAAAGGAUUCAAGGGAUGUGUUAGAAGAGAAGAUCGAGAUUGAUGCAUUUUUCUUGAUUGAUUGAAAGAUAUUUGGGAAAUUGGAGCCUCAUGAUAAUGAGAGCAAUCACAUGCAUGCGUGCGUGCACACACAUUUUCUCUGAUGAGCCAUAACUUUCAAGGGGUGAAUUAAGAGAUCCAUGUCACACAAUUUGACUGAUAGUACCUGAGAGGGUUUUUAAUAACAAACAAUUUUGAUAGGGCUUCAUUAAACUAAAUGGUGAUUUAUGCUAGUUAGAAACAUCAAACAAGCAUAACAAAUGAUAGUAUUCAAAUAGGUUGGCAUGUUUGGAUAUGCAAAAUCAAGACAGUUUCAAGCUCAGCACUUUCAUGUUUUGAAAGUGGUGUUUAUUGUAAACAAAGUAUUUAAUGAGUCUUUCUAUUAUAAAUAUGCUUUUUACAUACUACUCUGUUCUAGAAAUGUAUGUAAGUGCACAAUGUGAAUAAGUUGCUUUCCAUCUUUGUGCUGUGACUACCUGUCCCAUGGCAGAGAAAACAUUGUUAGUGAAUUUGCAUUAUGUAAUAAGACUGUUAAUUUCCUAAACCUAUUCUGUAGUAGCAGCAACAUAUAUUAUUUUUAUGUUUUAUUUUAAAAAUCAUGCCUGAAAUGCUAAACCUCUUUUUAUGCACAGCUGAAACUAUUUAUUUUAAAACAAGACAUCUGUCUUUAGAUUAAAUGUAUACAUGAUUCCUGUUAAAUUGGUGUCUGGUACAUGUGGUUCUGAAAGACGUAUGUGUUAUGUCUCAUAUUCAGGGUCUGUGUUAUGCAGGAACUGUGAGCAAUGGUUUUUAUUUUACAAAGUAGUUAUACUUACACGUGUUUGAAUCUUAUGCCAUAAGUAGUUAUGUUUUAAGAUUUUACCAUUGUCACAUUGCACUCCAUAUGUUUAUGGAAAUAUGCUUGAGUGUGAUAUAAUUAACUGGAAUAUGCUUUCUGCAAAAGAUCUCUUGUAUCAUUACAAAGCUUAUAAUCUACUGAGUGUGUUCAUCCUAUUUGUAUCUAAAAUUAGAAAUCUGAAGUAUAAUUCUGAAGUCCUAUUGUAAUUAUGCAAAGCAUAGGCCAUUAAAGGUGGCUUGGAAUCUUGA